GUGUCGGUUAUUAACAUAGUUAUCUUGAUAAUCCUCGUCACACUCUAUGUGGAUGCUUGUGCUGCUUUUAGGCACAACAAAAGGAUCGAUAACGACGAGCCUUAUGGAGAGACAAGAAUGGAGAAGUCGCAGCCUAGUAGGAUACAUUUCUAGAGGUGCGUUUGGAUUUUAAAGAUUUUUACGAGCAACGCGCGUAUGUGGAGUUAUUUCGCAGUUUUUUUGGUGUUUUCGGAAAAAAAAAAAAAAAAGAAAAAAAACACACUGUCUAUAUAUUUUGUAUUAAUGUGAUGACGUGUCUUGUAAUGGAACUGUUUAAGAACUAUGCUGCACAUGUAAACUACGUAAGGGUUUAUAAGCAACUGCAUGUGCACAAUGCAUCAUUGAGUAGACAUGGAUCCAUGAAAGGUGUUUAAUUAAGAGUGUUAAUUAAUAUUUUGUUGUUUAAUCACUUCAAAUUCAAUUUAUUUUUGGAGAGUAUUUAA